GUCUAUGGCCGUGUUACCCUGAACACUCCCGAUUCCGUCUGAUCUCGGAAGCUAAGCAGAGUCAGGCCUGAUUAGUACUUGGAUGGGAGACCACCUAGGAAGACCAGGUGCCGUAAGUG
rnacentral:rRNA from 1 species